rnacentral:rRNA from 1 species
UGAGGAACUUGUCCCGGUCUCUGGGAUAACAGUUGGGAAACGACUGCUAAUACCGGAUGACGUCGGAACUUCGCAUGGAGUACUGACGAAAGGGUUACUGGAUCGGGAGAGCCUCGCGGCCUAUCAGCUUGUUGGUGGGGUAAUGGCCUACCAAGGCAUCGACGGGUAGCUGGUCUGAGAGGAUGAUCAGCCACACUGGGACUGAGACACGGCCCAGACUCCUACGGGAGCAG